rnacentral:rRNA from 1 species
UGGGGAAUUUUGGACAAUGGGCGCAAGCCUGAUCCAGCCAUGCCGCGUGCGGGAAGAAGGCCUUCGGGUUGUAAACCGCUUUUGUCAGGGAAGAAAUCUUCUGAGUUAAUACCUCGGGAGGAUGACGGUACCUGAAGAAUAAGCACCGGCUAACUACGUGCCAGCAGCCGCGGUAAUACGUAGGGUGCAAGCGUUAAUCGGAAUUACUGGGCGUAAAGCGUGCGCAGGCGGCUUUGUAAGACAGAGGUGAAAUCCCCGGGCUCAACCUGGGAACUGCCUUUGUGACUGCAAGGCUUGAGUGCGGCAGAGGGGGAUGGAAUUCCGCGUGUAGCAGUGAAAUGCGUAGAUAUGCGGAGGAACACCGAUGGCGAAGGCAAUCCCCUGGGCCUGCACUGACGCUCAUGCACGAAAGCGUGGGGAGCAAACAGGAUUAGAUACCCUGGUAGUCCACGCCCUAAACGAUGUCAACUGGUUGUUGGGAAGGUUCCUUCUCAGUAACGUAGCUAACGCGUGAAGUUGACCGCCUGGGGAGUACGGCCGCAAGGUUGAAAACUCAAAUGAAUUGACGGGGUCAUAGCUGUUUCC